rnacentral:lncRNA from 1 species
AAGAAAACAACCCACCAUUGCUUCCAAGGAGUCUGCUUUUGUGACACAAAUGGACUUGCCCCCAUCUGCUGGUGCUGUCGCUUGUUUCCAAAAUGUGCCCAGCAUCCAGCCUCUCCUCUGACCAACUCAAGCCCUCAUUAGGUGUCUUCUAGACCAGCUCAGCAACGUUUUUUGUUUUGUUUCCAGAUAAACGGUCUCAACUCUGUUGCCCAGGCUGGAGUGCAGUGGCACGAUCAUGGCUCACUGAAGCCUCAGCCUCCAGGGCUCACGCAAUCCUCCUACCUCAGCCUCUGAGUAGCCGGGACUACAGGCAUGUGACACUCUGUCUGGCUGAUUUUUUUUUAGUUUCUUUGUAGAGUAGGGGAGGUCUCCCUUUGUUGCCCAGGCUGGUCCCAGCGACCUUCUGAUUUCUCUCCCUCUCAGUCAGUAUGUCUUCAGAUUGUCUAUUAAUGAAACAUCCUUUGAUAAUAACUUCUGCUAAAACUGUAAAAAUGUCAUACACAUGACUUAUCUCAGAACACCCAUACAUGAAAGCUGAAGGCAUAAUGGAUUAGAAAGGCAGUACGUGGAGUUAAGACAUAGCUCAGCUUUUAAAGGAAGUUCCAGGAAAAUGGUAGAAAUACACAAGGCAUAAAAAGUUAAGUGUAUUAAGUCUUCAGGGAGUAAUCAAGACUGGCAAUGCAUGCAGGUGCCCACAGGCAAACUGUUUUUGCAGUACUGCAAAACAGCUCCCUGGGCAGAUGUGAGGAGCCAAUGUGUGCUGUCCAGCUCUAGAGUGACCCAGAUUCUACUUAAUUAAGUAGAUGAAAGUGAACUCACCCUAGGGCUCCUGCGAGGUGAUUGGACAGCUGGGACCUGCGGGGGACAAUACCAAUUGAU